AUUCAUUCAGGAAAACUAGUAUAUAUACGCUUCGGCGUUUAAUUGUUAAUACUUACCGUACCAACCGACAAUGGUGGAUUUGUAGAGUAUACUAAGGUAUUAAGAUAAUCAUGUGUAAGGAACUCGGCAAAAUGCUUACGUAACUUAGGAAGAAGUAAGACUCUUUAAAAAAUAAGAGUUUAAAAAAAUCGAAGAUGACAACUGUUUAACAAAAACACAGAACUUUGCUAAUUUUAAAAAAGAUGUAUAGAGUUUGAGAAUUGCCCAGUACAGCUAGAUAAAUGUUAUGAUGUAUAUAAAAACACGUAACGAAUAGCUACGUGAUACUAUGCUUUAUAAAUUAACAGGCUGUAAACGGCGGUUUUAACUAUAAGAAUCGUAAAGUAGCGAAAUUCAUUGGCAAUUAAUUGUUGUCCUGCACGAAUAUUUUAAUGAUCAUCUUACUGUCUCACACAUGAACUUUGUGAAAUUGAAAUUUUCGUGAAUAUGCGAAAUACCUAACACUGGACAACGAGACCCUAUGCAUCUUUACUCUAAGCUGUAAUCUAUUUUUUUAUAUACAACGUAAGUAGGAGAGUCUUGCAUUUUCACUUUUUUACUUUUAAACUAAUAAGUGGUAAGAUAUCGUUAAUGAAAAACUACUCGGAGAUAUAACUAACUAACAAAAUGUACAGCUUGGGAGUUUCUCUGGGGCGGAGAUCUUUAAAAAAGUAACAAGGAUGAGCUUAUGGUGACAUAUGAAACUUUACUGAGUAAAUUGUCGCUUAAUUGCUGUAUAACUGUAUAUUGCAAAAACGAAAGUUUGUCAGAGUGAGCUUGAAUUUUAAAUACACAAAAAAGUGGAAUUUCUUCAAAUCAACAAAUAAAAGAUACGCUAGGGCUAACAGCUUAAUAUUCUCCUAGAGUACCUAUCGACGAGAAUGUUUAAGACCUCGAUGUCGGCUCACUUUUUCCUAGUGCUGCAGAUAGUGCUUCAGGUUGGAUUGUUCAUCCAUUAAAAAAGUACGUUAGCUGGGUUCAGAACGCCGUGAGGCAGUUCGGUCCAUAUCCGUGCUAGGUGUGUUAGACUUAAAUUAACUUCUUUAAGUACGAAAGGACAACAAGAAGAUCGUCUCUGGUGUUUGAGUUGUUUUACAUAUAUGCAUUGCAGCGCUCAGAAGCUAAACGAUAAAUUUUAAUUGCUGAAAGCAUAUAAGCAAAAAAAUUUUAUUUAACCAAGUCUAAUUUAUAAUGCUCAACGCUAGAGCAUAGAUAGGU
rnacentral:rRNA from 1 species